rnacentral:tRNA from 1 species
GCCGCCGUAGCUCAGCCGGCAGAGCGCCGCCCUGGUAAGGCGGAGGCCCCGGGUUCGAAUCCCGGCGGCGGCU